GUAGGUGUAGCUCAGAUGGUAGAGCGCAUGCUUAGCAUGUAGGAGGCCCUGGGUUCAAUCCCCAGUACCUACU
rnacentral:tRNA from 1 species